GGAUGAUUGUCAUGUCCAACACAGGGAAUAUAGCCAGUAUUUUGUGAUAACUGUAAAUGGAAAGUAACCUUUAAAAAUUAUAUAAACAAUAAAAAAUGAAUUAAAAAAGUAUAGCUUUGGAGUCCGAUUGUCUGGGCAAAAUCUUUGAUCUGAUCCUUACAUCUGUAAAUAGCGUUAGUAAUAGUACUUACCCAAUAUAGUUAUCACUACAAAAAGUAGUUUAAAGGACUUAGUAUACAUCAAAUACAUUAUAAAUGUUAGCUAUUAUUAUUUUCCCUAACAAACUAGUACUCAGAAAAUUGAGACUAUUCCAUUCCAAUGGUUCAAGUAAAAGUUUAACCUUCAGAUUAAAAACUACUUCCUGGAGUUCCCGUCGUGGCGCAGUGGUUAAUGAAUCUGCCUAGUAACCAUGAGGUUGCGGGUUCGAUCCCUGGCCUUGCUCAGUGGGUUAAGGAUCUGGCAUUGCCGUGAGCUGUGGUGUAGAUCGUAGAUGUGGCUUAGAUCCUGCGUUGCUGUGUCUGUGGUGUAGGCUGGUGGUUACAGCUCCAAUUAGACUCCAAGCCUGGGAACCUCCGCAUGCCACAGGUGCAGCCCUAGAAAAGCAAAAAGACAAAAGACCAAAAAAAAAAGGCUUAUUCUUCCAGGAACUGAGGACAGUCAAGCUGAGGAAAUGGACUUCACCCAUGUCGAGGAGGAAGCAUGGAUCGGAAGGUGGAGAAUUAUGGGAGCCUGUUGUUUUGGGAUUCUGAAUCUAUACCUGAAACUAUAAUGUUGCUUCCAAAGCAGGAAGUUUGUGAAGAAAUAUCAUCUGAAAGGGAGCUGAUAAUAGACUUAAGAAGGAUGACUUCUGGGACUCUGGAUUGAUAAAAGCCUGGGAAUGUGAAAGCACAGUAGAAAGGCAGCAAGGAAAUCAGAAGAAAGAUUUGAGGCAAACCAUAAUUAAACAUAAGAAAAACCUUAUGGAGAAUUGUAAUGAAAUCGGAGAAAGUUCAAAACAUCAACAAGUUUAUUCAGUGAAAAAGCCUUGGAAAUGCAGUGAGUGUGGCAAGUUUUCAGUUGCUACUCAGACUUUAUCCUCCAUCAGAGGAUUCAUUUGUAUGAAUGGCA
rnacentral:lncRNA from 1 species